CACUAUGCCCAGCCUUAAACAUUGACAGUUAAUUACACCCACUGUCCGCCCGGGUACUACGAGCGCUAGCUUAAAACCCAAAGGACUUGGCGGUGCUUUAGACCCACCUAGAGGAGCCUGUUCUAGAACCGAUAAUCCCCGUUAAACCUCACCCUUCCUUGUUCUUUCCCGCCUAUAUACCACCGUCGUCAGCUUACCCUGUGAAGGCCCUAUAGUAAGCACAAUCGGCAAUGCCCAAUACGUCAGGUCGAGGUGUAGCGAAUGGAAGGGGAAGAAAUGGGCUACAUUUACUAAUAUAGUAAAUACGGAUGAUCACCCUGCAACGAGUAUCUGAAGGAGGAUUUAGCAGUAAGCAAAAAAUAGAGCGUUUUGCUGAAAUUGGCCCUGAAGCGUGCACACACCGCCCGUCACUCUCCCCGAACUAAGAUCUAAAACAUAACUAAUAUGCUAUAA
rnacentral:rRNA from 1 species